rnacentral:rRNA from 1 species
UACGUAGGCAGCAAGCGUUGUUCGGAAUUACUGGGCGUAAAGAGUACGUAGGUGGUUUGCCAAGUCCGAUGUGAAAUCUCCUGGCUUAACUGGGAGGGUGCGCCGAAAACUGGGAGGCUAGAGUGCGGGAUGGGAGAGUGGAAUUCCUGGUGUAGCGGUGAAAUGCGUAGAUAUCAGGAGGAACACCGGUGGUGCAGACGGCUCUCUGGACCGUAACUGACGCUGAGACACGAAAGCGUGGGUAGCAAACAGG